rnacentral:tRNA from 1 species
CAUUAAAUGGCUGAAAGCAAGCAUUGGUCUCUUAAACCAUUCUAUAGUAAAUUAGCAUCUACUUUUAAUGA